rnacentral:rRNA from 1 species
GAUGAACGCUAGCGGCAGGCCUACACAUGCAAGUCGAGGGGCAGCACAUAAAGUGGUUUACUACUUUUGGUGGCGACCGGCGGACGGGUGCGUAACGCGUAUGCAACCUGCCUCCAACAGGGGGAUAACGGAGAGAAAUUUCCACUAAUACCCCAUAAUAUCAGAAUCGGUAUCGGUUUUGGUUGAAAACUCCGGUGGUUGGAGAUGGGCAUGCGUUGUAUUAGAUAGUUGGUGAGGUAACGGCUCACCAAGUCAACGAUACAUAGGGGGACUGAGAGGUUAGCCCCCCACACUGGUACUGAGACACGGACCAGACUCCUACGGGAGGCAGCAGUGAGGAAUAUUGGUCAAUGGGGGCAACCCUGAACCAGCCAUGCCGCGUGCAGAAAGACGGCUCUAUGAGUUGUAGACUGCUUUUACAAGGGGAUAAAUCGGUGUACGUGUACACCGUUGAAGGUACCUUGGGAAUAAGGAUCGGCUAACUCCGUGCCAGCCGCCGCGGUAA